rnacentral:rRNA from 1 species
UGAGGAAUAUUGGUCAAUGGACGAGAGUCUGAACCAGCCAAGUCGCGUGAAGGAAGACGGCCCUACGGGUUGUAAACUUCUUUUGUAAGGGAAUAAAUAGUCUUACGCGCUAAGACGUUGCAGGUACCUUACGAAUAAGGAUCGGCUAACUCCGUGCCAGCAGCCGCGGUAAUACGGAGGAUCCGAGCGUUAUCCGGAUUUAUUGGGUUUAAAGGGUGCGCAGGCGGCAUGUUAAGUCGGCGGUGAAAUUUUGCAGCUCAACUGUAAAAGAGCCUUCGAAACUGGCAAGCUUGAGUGUGGAUGAAGUAGGCGGAAUUUGUGGUGUAGCGGUGAAAUGCAUAGAUAUCGCAAAGAACACCGAUUGCGCAGGCAGCUUACUAAACCAUAACUGACGCUCAUGCACGAAGGCGUGGGGAUCAAACAG